GAUGAAGAACGUAGCGAAAUGCGAUAAGUAAUGUGAAUUGCAGAAUUCAGUGAAUCAUCGAAUCUUUGAACGCACCUUGCGCCCUUUGGCUAUUCCGAAGGGCAUGCCUGUUUGAGUAUCGUGAACACCUCAACUCUCAUGGUUUGCCAUGAUGAGCUUGGACUUUGGGGGUUUUGCUGGCCUUUGGUCGGCUCCUCUCAAACGGAUCAGCUUUCCAGUGUUUGGUGGCGUCACGGGUGUGAUAACUAUCUACGCCUGUGGUUUUCUGCCAGAUAACCUUCAGCGAUGGAGGUUCGCUGGGGCUCAUAAAUGUCUCUCUUCAGUGGAGACAGCUUUUUGGACGUUUGAUCUCAAAUCAGGUAGGACUACCCGCUGAACUUAAGCAUAUCAAUAAGCGGCGGA
rnacentral:misc_RNA from 1 species